UAAGCAUAUCAAUAAGCGGAGGAAAAGAAACCAACAGGGAUUGCCUCAGUAACGGCGAGUGAAGCGGCAACAGCUCAAAUUUGAAAUCUGGCCCCCAGGGCCCGAGUUGUAAUUUGCAGAGGAUGCUUUGGGCGCGGCGCCUUCCGAGUUCCCUGGAACGGGACGCCACAGAGGGUGAGAGCCCCGUCUGGUUGGACGCCUAGCCUGUGUAAAGCUCCCUCGACGAGUCGAGUAGUUUGGGAAUGCUGCUCUAAAUGGGAGGUAUAUGUCUUCUAAAGCUAAAUACCGGCCAGAGACCGAUAGCGCACAAGUAGAGUGAUCGAAAGAUGAAAAGCACUUUGAAAAGAGAGUUAAAAAGUACGUGAAAUUGUUGAAAGGGAAGGGCUCGCGACCAGACUUGGGUCUGGGGAUCACCCGGCGUUCUUCGCCGGGGCACUCCCCCGGCACAGGCCAGCAUCGGUUCGGCCCGGGGGAUAAAGGCGGCGGGAACGUGGCUCUUCGGAGUGUUAUAGCCCGCCGCGCAAUACCCUGGGGCGGACCGAGGACCGCGCAUCUGCAUGGAUGCUGGCGUAAUGGUCGCCAGCCACCCGU
rnacentral:rRNA from 1 species